AUUGAACGCUGGCGGCAGGCCUAACACAUGCAAGUCGAGCGGAUGAAGGGAGCUUGCUCCUGGAUUCAGCGGCGGACGGGUGAGUAAUGCCUAGGAAUCUGCCUGGUAGUGGGGGAUAACGUCCGGAAACGGGCGCUAAUACCGCAUACGUCCUGAGGGAGAAAGUGGGGGAUCUUCGGACCUCACGCUAUCAGAUGAGCCUAGGUCGGAUUAGCUAGUUGGUGGGGUAAAGGCCUACCAAGGCGACGAUCCGUAACUGGUCUGAGAGGAUGAUCAGUCACAAUGGAACUGAGACACGGUCCAGACUACUACGGGAGGCAGCAGUGGGGAAUAUUGGACAAUGGGCGAAAACCUGAUCCAGCCAUGCCGCGUGUGUGAAGACGGUCUUCGGAUUGUAAAGAACUUUAAGUUGGGAGGAAGGGCAGUAAGUUAAUACCUUGCUGUUUUGACGUUACCAACAGAAUAAGCACCGGCUAACUUCGUG
rnacentral:rRNA from 1 species